rnacentral:rRNA from 1 species
AGUGAACGCUGGCGGCGUGCCUAAUACAUGCAAGUCGAACGAGUGGCGCACGGGUGAGUAACGCAUCGGAACGUACCGAGUAAUGGGGGAUAACUGUCCGAAAGGACAGCUAAUACCGCAUAUUAUUCGAGCGGCCGAUGUCUGAUUAGCUGGUUGGCGGGGUAAAGGCCCACCAAGGCGACGAUCAGUAGAGGGUCUGAGAGGAUGAACCGCCACACUGGGACUGAGACACGGCCCAGACUCCUACGGGAGGCAGCAGUGGGGAAUUUGGGACAAUGGGCGCAAGCCUGAUCCAGCCAUGCCGCGUGUCUGAAGAAGGCCUUCGGGUUGUAAAGGACUUUUGUCAGGGAAGCGGUACCUGAAGAAUAAGCACCGGCUAACUACGUGCCAGCAGCCGCGGUAAUAC